AUCCACCAGGUUUCUUUGAAGAGGCGCUGUCCUUCUGUCCACCAUGUGCCGGAUUCCAGUACUGAAAUCCUGAGGUUUCGUGGAUCAUGGUGUGAGAAGUGCUCAUAAAGGGAGGCAUGGAUGAGGAGAUCUUGGAGGUUUUUAUUCCUCCUAUUGGCCGAAAUCACCCGGAAGUGGGUCAAUGGCAGUACGUGGUCUUGGGUCUUCCUGAAGUUCCUUUUGACAGCGGAGAUGAGGAUCCUAGAGGCCGGGGAGAAGGUGGCCACAAAGGGGACCAGGUGAGAUGGAGGGAUGGUGAUUAUUGAGAAUGGAAAUGAAUGUCUCAAAGUCCUCCACUGAAUGUUCCCAGAUACCAAAGAUGUCGUCCAGGUACCUGGCAUAGAAGGUGGGUUUAUGAAUACAUUUAGUGAAAACCGUUUGUUCCCAGUCGGCCAUGUAAAUAUUUGCAUACGCUGGUGCGAAUUUCUUCCCCA